rnacentral:tRNA from 3 species
UCUAAUAUGGCAGAUUAGUGCAAUGAAUUUAAGCUUCAUAUAUAAAGAUUAAAUCUUUUAUUAGAA